rnacentral:rRNA from 1 species
GAUGAACGCUGGCGGCGUGCUUAACACAUGCAAGUCGAACGGUGAAAGAGAGCUUGCUCUCUGGAUCAGUGGCGAACGGGUGAGUAACACGUGAGCAAUCUGCCCCUGACUCUGGGAUAAGCGCUGGAAACGGCGUCUAAUACCGGAUACGAGCUGCGAAGGCAUCUUCAGCAGCUGGAAAGAACUUCGGUCAGGGAUGAGCUCGCGGCCUAUCAGCUAGUUGGUGAGGUAACGGCUCACCAAGGCGUCGACGGGUAGCCGGCCUGAGAGGGUGACCGGCCACACUGGGACUGAGACACGGCCCAGACUCCUACGGGAGGCAGCAGUGGGGAAUAUUGCACAAUGGGCGUAAGCCUGAUGCAGCAACGCCGCGUGAGGGACGACGGCCUUCGGGUUGUAAACCUCUUUUAGCAGGGAAGAAGCGAAAGUGACGGUACCUGCAGAAAAAGCACCGGCUAACUACGUG